GGGAUGGCCGAGACACCCCUCGUCCUGUUGAGAUGUAAAACCUUACUUGUAACAUUAAUUUUGAAUCUUGGUUUCAGUAUUGCUGCUGCUACAAAUUUAAGAGGGUGGACAACAAUGGCAGAGGCAUAUGAAAACCUCAUCAAAUCUGUUGAAAUUGCUAUGUUUGGAAAGUAUGCUGGCCUGACAGACUCUUACAGUCUUACUUGUCUGUAGUGAUGCUGCAACUUCAACAAUUUGGCAGGCCCUUCUACAUGCAUGCGUUUCCUGCUCAUUGAGAUUAUCAAUUCAAUGGAUUGCAGCAUGUGAUCUUAAAGAUGAAAAAUGCAAAAGCGGUAUAAAUUUCACUGGCCAUUUUUAAUAAAGGAUAUCUGGUGUUACGUUUUUAAAUUAAUAUGCCUUUUGCUGGGUCUUUUCUUCAAAUACCGACACCACAGGCACAUGCUGUGGUAUGGGAAGC